rnacentral:rRNA from 1 species
UACGUAGGCAGCAAGCGUUGUUCGGAGUUACUGGGCGUAAAGGGUGCGUAGGUGGCUCUAUAAGUAUGGUGUGAAAUCUCCCGCUUAACUGGGAGGGUGCGCCGUAGACUGUGGGGCUAGAGUGUGGGAGAGGAAAGUGGAACUCCUGGUGUAGCGGUGAAAAUGCGUAGAUAUCAGGAGGAACACCGGUGGUGUAAACGCUUUCUGGACCAUAACUGACACUGAGGCACGAAAGCGUGGGUAGCAAACAGG